GACGUAGGGGACGAGCGUUGUCCGGAUUCAUUGGGCGUAAAGCGCGCGUAGGCGGUUACGCAAGUCGGUUGUGAAAAGUCCGGGGCUCAACCCCGGACCUGCAUCCGAUACUGCGUGACUAGAGGUAGGUAGGGGAGAGUACGGAAUUCCUGGUGUAGCGGUGAAAUGCGCAGAUAUCAGGAGGAACACCGGUGGCGAAGGCGGAUCUCUGGGCCUUACCUGACGCUCAGGCGACGAAAGGACUAGGGGGAGCGAACAGG
rnacentral:rRNA from 1 species